rnacentral:rRNA from 1 species
CCUACGGGCGGCAGCAGUGAGGAAUAUUGGUCAAUGGACGGAAGUCUGAACCAGCCAUGCCGCGUGCAGGAAGACGGCUCUAUGAGUUGUAAACUGCGUUUGUACAAGGGGAAACCGGAAUAAGUGGAUGCAGCUGAAAGUACGGUACGAAUAAGGAUCGGCUAACUCCGUGCCAGCAGCCGCGGUAAUACGGAGGAUCCAAGCGUUAUCCGGAUUUAGUGGGUUUACAGGGUGCGUAGGCGGAUUGAUAAGUUAGAGGUGCAAUGUCCGAGCUGAACUCGGGAACGGCCUCUAAUACUGUUGCUCUAGAUCGUAGAUGCGGUAGGCGGACUGUCUGUUGUAGCGGU